rnacentral:rRNA from 1 species
GGAUGAACGCUGGCGGCGUGCUUAACACAUGCAAGUCGAACGAUGAAGCCCAGCUUGCUGGGUGGAUUAGUGGCGAACGGGUGAGUAACACGUGAGUAACCUGCCCCCGACUCUGGGAUAAGCCCGGGAAACUGGGUCUAAUACCGGAUAUGACCUCGCACCGCAUGGUGCGGGGUGGAAAGAUUUAUCGGUGGGGGAUGGACUCGCGGCCUAUCAGCUUGUUGGUGAGGUAAUGGCUCACCAAGGCGACGACGGGUAGCCGGCCUGAGAGGGUGACCGGCCACACUGGGACUGAGACACGGCCCAGACUCCUACGGGAGGCAGCAGUGGGGAAUAUUGCACAAUGGGCGAAAGCCUGAUGCAGCGACGCCGCGUGAGGGAUGACGGCCUUCGGGUUGUAAACCUCUUUCAGUAGGGAAGAAGCGAAAGUGACGGUACCUGCAGAAGAAGCGCCGGCUAACUACGUGCCAGCAGCCGCGGUAAUACGUAGGGCGCAAGCGUUAUCCGGAUUUAUUGGGCGUAAAGAGCUCGUAGGCGGUUUGUCGCGUCUGCCGUGAAAGUCCGAGGCUCAACCUCGGAUCUGCGGUGGGUACGGGAGACUAGAGUGAUGUAGGGGAGACUGGAAUUCCUGGUGUAGCGGUGAAAUGCGCAGAUAUCAGGAGGAAACCGAUGGCGAAGGCAGGUCUCUGGGCAUUUACUGACGCUGAGGAGCGAAAGCAUGGGGAGCGAACAGGAUUAGAUACCCUGGUAGUCCAUGCCGUAAACGUUGGGCACUAGGUGUGGGGGACAUUCCACGUUUUCCGCGCCGUAGCUAACGCAUUAAGUGCCCCGCCUGGGGAGUACGGCCGCAAGGCUAAAACUCAAAGGAAUUGACGGGGGCCCGCACAAGCGGCGGAGCAUGCGGAUUAAUUCGAUGCAACGCGAAGAACCUUACCAAGGCUUGACAUGUGCCAGACCGCCUCAGAGAUGGGGUUUCCCUUCGGGGCUGGUUCACAGGUGGUGCAUGGUUGUCGUCAGCUCGUGUCGUGAGAUGUUGGGUUAAGUCCCGCAACGAGCGCAACCCUCGUUCCAUGUUGCCAGCACGUAGUGGUGGGGACUCAUGGGAGACUGCCGGGGUCAACUCGGAGGAAGGUGGGGAUGACGUCAAAUCAUCAUGCCCCUUAUGUCUUGGGCUUCACGCAUGCUACAAUGGCCGGUACAAUGGGUUGCGAUACUGUGAGGUGGGCUAAUCCCUAAAAGCCGGUCUCAGUUCGGAUUGGGGUCUGCAACUCGACCCCAUGAAGUCGGAGUCG